CGCAGCUGGGCGCGGAAGCGCAUCUCCGCGGGCUGCCCUGCGCCCCCGGGCCGGCCCGGCCCGGUCCGCCUCCCCGACACGCGCGGGCCGGCACCGCCCACCAUGGGCUCGGCCGCUGGGCCUGCGCAGUGGGCCGGAGUUGUGCGCCGCCGCGCCCAGAAACGGGCCUGUUUUCAGCCCGCACCGCCAAGCGCCUACUGUGUGCAAGGAGCGCGAGCGGAGGGCGCGGGGACGGGGCCAGGGAGCCCUCGCUUGGAGGACUCUUUGAAUAGUGCUCCCUAGCUGGGGCCGGUUUGCGCUGGGCUGCCUUAUGGAGCCUCACCACCUGCAGAGAUGACGAGGACCGUGCGUACACCUACUGGGUGCCGGCUUGUGCUGUGCGCCCUGGGGAGGAGAAACGUCGAGCCUGACCCCCAGGAGCUCCUGUUCUCCCCAGGGAGAGGACAGUAAACCGAUGAGAAUGACCCUAAGAGUCACUGUAAGAUUUGGACCCCUCUGGCUGCAGGUGGGCGAUGGCCUCAGGGACUGUGCAGAGGCAGGAGACCAGGGAGGCGGUGACUGCGAUAGUUCCGGUCGGAGAGGAUGGAGGGCAGACCAGGGUGACCACGGAGCAUGGAGCCUGCAUCUCGCCAGUGCAUCUCUUAAAAGAACGUAUGGAUGAGUGCAUGACGGGGAGCCGUGAGAUCCAGCCCUGCACCUGGAAAAAGGCACAAAGACCACACUCAAGCCUGGGUGGAAGCAUCGUCCAAAUGCAGUGGAAAAAUUUAUGGCCAGAGGAACUAGUUCCAAACCUGGCCCUUCUCCUCGCUUGCUGUGUGCCCCUGGAUAACCCACGUGCCCUCUCUGGGCCUGACACUCCUUGGUUGCAAACCAGGCUUAGCAAAUUCAUGGACUCUGUGCAAUUUAAAGAUUUUCAUUGCUCUUUGCAAUUCUAUUUCUAGAAAUCCAUUCCCAGAGAAAUUCUCACCUCACACCCCAUGAACACAGGUACAAGGAUGUAGCUUGGUUUGUGGAGUAAAACCCUGGAAAUAUCCUCAAAGGUGAUUAAUUAAACUGCGGCACAUUCAUGUUCUAGAGUGCUAGAGAGCUGACUGUGGCCGCGAGGAAUUCUCUGGUGACACUUGCUGGCACAGAAUGACACUGCAGCCCAGCUCAGCAAGGCACUGGGAAUUUCCAGAACCAGAGAGGCUCAGGGUAGCUGUGAGGAUGGUCUGGGAAGCCAUAGACCAGGGGGAGG
rnacentral:lncRNA from 1 species